CACGCGGGAAAAGGAGUGCCUCGGCCUAGGCCUAGCGCCCGCGCUGACACCCCUCCGCGCGGCCCGGGCCGCGAGUUAUUUCUCUAUUGGCAGCACGAAAAGAUGCCGGAGCCGAAACGGCGGGCUGCUUGGCAGGCGCUUUCUCUAAGGAGGCCGCCCGCGGGAGGGAGAAAGGGAGGGAGGGAAGGAGGGGGCCGGCACGGCUGCGCGGAGGGAUCUGACGCACACGGAGCCGCAGCACAGGCUCUAUUCAGUGGCGCUGGCUGGGCUGAGAUGGAAGUUAGUUUCUAUGUAGCAGAAAUAGGAAACAAAUGAAGCAAAACUGCCCAAAGAGGGGAAAUGCCGGGAGGAUGGGGCUCACUCUCACGCACGCACAGAGACACUCUGGGAGCACUCUCACGCUGGGCCAAGUCGGGAUCGCGCCGCCCUGCCCGACUUGAACGCUAGUGUUUGCUUUCUGUCUUGCCAUGUGCAUGUGUAUAAAUGCUGCGGAUUGGCAUCUGUAAGUGCCAUGAAGAAAAAUAAAGCUCUCCAUGAAUUUUAACUAUGAAGGUGAACAAAAAAAAACGAACAAAAAAAAACUCAUAAAACAAAUGAACAAACAACACUGAAAGAAGAAAGAAGUCUUGGAAAACUGAAACUAAUUUUUAUAUGAUAGUUAUAAACUUCUUUAAAGUUCCUAUGGCAUCCCAUCCUGAACCCUUGGCAUCACAUGAACAAAGCUAGACACUGAACAAAAACUCUGUGUUGCUCUUGAGAAGCAAUAAUUCGUUUUUUUAAAAAAAAUCUGCCUUUUAAGUCUUCUCUAGACUAAGAUUAAUACUAAUUACAGUUCUGUUACGUUUCUGUAGUAUGUUGAAUAACACAUAACUAAAACUCAUGGAUUCGGUGUGUUACCUUAUAUGUUAAGUCAUGUUUCUGUACUAGUGUUAUGUUACCUUUAUGGGUUUUGGUGGGACUAUUACAUUGUUUUGUUAUUUUGUAAUGCUGGGCGCUGAACCCAGGUUCUUGCUCGUGUUGCAUAGGCAGUCUACCAUUGAGCUAUAUAUUCUCCGGUCAUAUGCCGCUUUCAUAGCAAAAGGCUUCACCCAAUGAAAUAAAAAAGUAGAAAGCAUCCUUCUCCAAAGAAUACCUUUUUAAAAACAUUUGCUCUGAAGAACAAAAUUUACAUCAUGCUAUUAGAAGGGCAUUGUCUGAUAAGCCCCACUCCUGUGGUUUGCUCUCCACCACUGUGUGUUUCUGCCAUGGCUGUCUUUCCCUUCUCACUUACACCCCUCUGUCUCCACAAAGUGUUAAUGUCAAAUCUGAAGUUCAUGAACAGCUACAGUACAGUAUUUUGGUGCCUUUAGAAAGAACAGGGUUAAUUUACUUUAAUAAACACCCAUCAUUU